GGACCUCCAUGAUGUCCAGCACUGGGCUCUGAUCUCUGUUGAGGACACAGUGCCCCCCGGGACCUUUGACACCCGGGGGUCUGAGUGGGGGGGUCC
rnacentral:snoRNA from 1 species